rnacentral:rRNA from 1 species
GAUGAACGCUGGCGGCGUGCCUAAUACAUGCAAGUCGAGCGAACAGACGAGGAGCUUGCUCCUUUGAUGUUAGCGGCGGACGGGUGAGUAACACGUAGGUAACCUACCUAUAAGACUGGGAUAACUUCGGGAAACCGGAGCUAAUACCGGAUAAUAUUUCGAACCGCAUGGUUCGAUAGUGAAAGAUGGCUUUGCUAUCACUUAUAGAUGGACCUGCGCCGUAUUAGCUAGUUGGUAAGGUAACGGCUUACCAAGGCAACGAUACGUAGCCGACCUGAGAGGGUGAUCGGCCACACUGGAACUGAGACACGGUCCAGACUCCUACGGGAGGCAGCAGUAGGGAAUCUUCCGCAAUGGGCGAAAGCCUGACGGAGCAACGCCGCGUGAGUGAUGAAGGUCUUCGGAUCGUAAAACUCUGUUAUUAGGGAAGAACAAACGUGUAAGUAACUGUGCACGUCUUGACGGUACCUAAUCAGAAAGCCACGGCUAACUACGU